GAUGAACGCUGGCGGCGUGCCUAACACAUGCAAGUCGAGCGAACGGACGAGAAGCUUGCUUUUUUGAUGUUAGCGGCGGACGGGUGAGUAACACGUGGAUAACCCACCUAUAAGACUGGGAUAACUUCGGGAAACCGGAGCUAAUACCGGAUAAUAUUUUGAACCGCAUGGUUCAAAAGAGAAAGACGGUGUUGCUGUCACUUAUAGAUGGAUCCGCGCUGCAUUAGCUAGUUGGUAAGGUAGCGGCUUAUCAAGGCAACGAUGCAUAGCCGACCUGAGAGGGUGAUCGGCCGCACUGGAGCUGGGACGCGGUCCAGACUCCUACGGGAGGGCGCAGUAGGGAAUCUUCCGCAAUGGGCGGAAGCCUGACGGAGCAGCGCCGCGUGAGUGAUGAAGGUCUUCGGAGCGUAAAGCUCUGUUAUUAGGGAAGAACAUAUGUGUAAGUAGCUGUGCACAUCUUGACGGUACCUAAUCAGAAAGCCACGGCUAACUACGUG
rnacentral:rRNA from 1 species